AUAUUGGAACGUACCGAGUAAUGGGGGAUAACUAUCCGAAAGGAUAGCUAAUACCGCAUACGCUUUGAGAAGGAAAGCAGGGGAUCUUCGGACCUUGCGUUAUUCGAGCGGCCAAUAACUGAUUAGCUAGUUGGUGGGGUAAGGGCCUACCAAGGCGACGAUCAGUAGUGGGUCUGAGAGGAUGAUCCGCCACACUGGGACUGAGACACGGCCCAGACUCCUACGGGAGGCAGCAGUGGGGAAUUUUGGACAAUGGGCGAAAGCCUGAUCCAGCCAUGCCGCGUGUCUGAAGAAGGCCUUCGGGUUGUAAAGGACUUUUGUUAGGGAAGAAAAGGUUGAUGCUAAUAUCAUUAACUGAUGACGGUACCUAAAGAAUAAGCACCGGCUAACUACGUGCCAGCAGCCGCGGUAAUACGUCUGUCUC
rnacentral:rRNA from 1 species